AUUUUCAUUCUUGUGUAAAUCACAACUAAAAACAUUUCAUUGAAGCUCGAUUCAUUUAAAACGAAGGUAACGCGCAAUUAGUCGGGUUUAUAGUUAGUCUGAUUUGUUGGAAACGAAAGAAUAUUUCACUAGUGUGUUGUCUACGUUAUUAUUACGAUGAAUUGAACAGGAUUGUAUUGAAUUUAACAGGGUUGUAUUGAAUUGAACAGGGCUGUAUUGAAUUGAACAGGGCUAUCGUGAUAUGAACAAGGUGUACUAACUGAAAUUUUGGGUGUGAAAAAUAAAAUGAAAUGUUGGUCAUUUCGUGAAUUAAUUAACUUAUUCGGUACGAAAUAAAGUUGGCCGAAUAAUUACAGGUGAUUGCCAUAAAUCUGCCUAAGACUGUAAAAGCUGAACUCUCUUGGGACACCUCAGAGGCAAGGAAAAAAGCACAAUUAGAGAAUUUAAUGUUACAAAAAAUAAAAGAUUCAAGAAAAAUAUAUGGACGCAUGAAGAUUUAUUAUGUUGGUGAAAAGAUAACAAAAAGCAA